rnacentral:lncRNA from 1 species
CACCAAGUACAUUUUUAAGCAUAAUGCAUUACUCAAAUUGUAGUGACAAUUUAGACAAAGAAAAGGUAUUUACAAAGUGUCAUGUGUACACGUAUGAAUCAAUAUGUAGUCAUCCGCAAGUAUCUACAACAUAGUAGUUUACAAAAUCAUCCAUGAAAUGGUAUUUUACAACCUAGAUUGAUAAAAAUAUAUCACUCAACAAUUUAGAAAACAGUGCAAUCCAGUUCGAACAAACAAAACACUUAAACUAUUGAAGUUCUUGUCGUCGGCCCUCCUGAUGGAAACCUUGAUGGAAACUAUCACGUCAUCCAAAUUGUGAUGGAAACCUUGAUGGAAACUAUCACGUCAUCCAAAUUGUGAUGGCAGCACCAAGUAGCCGAGUACACAAUCAUACCUAGCAUAUUUACAAAACAAUUAGAUAUUUGUAGGUAUGAAUAGAUAGUAGAAACAAGAGAACUGCAACAAAUGUAAACAUGAAAAUCUAUUAUAUAAUUAUAAAACGAUACAAAACAAAUGGCAUAGAUGUAACAAUAAAAGAGCUAAAAAGAAUGGAUGUGAUCAAACAAAGUUUAUCAAACGAAGCCUAUGACUGAGAAGUGCAAAACAAAACACAUGGAAGGAAACUUGCCAUCUCUUCACAAAAAAGAAGACACUUCCCAUCAUCACGUGUGUUGUACAGACAUACAAUAAGUUCUCGAAUAUAACUAUGCUAUUAGAAAAUCAAUCAACGUGAUGCUAAAAAAUCUUCUUACCUACAAGGAAAUAUAUUACAAAGCCUAGCCCCCUUGUACAUAGCACACGUACAUGAACGAGCAGAAUUUGCCCAACAUUCAAACAGCCAUCCAACAAAAAUGGGUGUACUUCAUGGUCAUAGUAAUACCUUGCUUUCAACGAAAAAUUUAAUUUCCCUAUUUGUAUGACAACAAUACAAAUCAGUAAAAAUAAAAGAAUGUCUAUCAACCUAUUUUAGAUGUCGGGACAAAUUAUUAGUAAAAACUAAAACACGCCAUACAUAUACACUGAAGUUUUCUCUAGAGCAUAAUUUACAAUGGAUUUUCAAAAUAAUUACAUUGCUUCCAUAGAUGAAUAAUUAUACACAGAAAUAUUCUCUAGAUGAAUGGCUUAUGUAGAUGAAUCAAUGGGCAAUGGAAAAUGUAUCCCUUAAGUGUAAUGGUUGGUGGUGUCCAGAUUAUUAUUAUUUUCUUCCUAGAAAACUAUUAGCAAAAGCACAAAUACGAAUACACUCGCUAAUGUCCACACCCUCUAAUAUUUUCUGAAGAUUGAUUUUACUUAGCUGAAUUUUGAGUACAAAUUUCCAAUGGUUUACUCUGUAGAAUGUUUUCACAGUUAUAGCUAACUUGGUCUAAGAAUAUGAAAUUGUCUACACUAGCUGACUUAGUUAUUUCUCCUCUGCUUUAGCUUUUAAAUAUGAUAUUUUAAAAGCAAUCUCUGAAUUUACUAUAUCUGACUAGCUGUACUGCAUCACAAUAUUACCUUCAGUGAAAUAUUACCUUCAACAUUGCCUUGAGUACACGUGCACCACACAAGGCCGGUCCUAAGAUUUGGGGGCCCGGGGCGAAACUAAAACUUAGAGGCCCUUGACAGAAAUAUGAGAAUAUUAGGCUAUGAAGAAAGUACACACUAUGUGUGAUGCAAAGUCAUGUUUAAUGCUUGAAUUACACGUGUAGGAGUAUAUUAUUUCAGGUGUCAAAAGGGACAGAAGACUCCAAAAAUGGUCCAAAAAUAAUUUGCAUCCAAAAUACAUGGUUGCAUUCACAUUUUGAGUCCUUCCAAUGACUAUUGUAAGACUGUUACAGCAAACAUGAGUAUAUGAGGAUUUAGAUAGAUGAGAAAAUCAAUACGAGUGAUGUGGAAAUAUUUUGUCAUAUCUUCUAAACUUACCUUUGUAUCUUUAAAAAUCAAAUUAUAUAGUGCCGAGAUAGUGAAAAGUUACUCCCGCGAAGUUGUAGGGAUGAUUAAAUUAAUAAUUUGUUACCCAAUUGUGCUAUCAUUGCUGAGUUCAUCUAUAAACUCACCACUAUGAGCAGCAUCCAAACCUCGUUCUUGCUUGAGAUCUAUAACACCACAUGAAAAUCAAUAUUAAAAGGCAGAAUCAAAACGAUUAAUUGUACAAACAGUGGAAAAUGUCGACCGACUGACAAUACUCGCCUUUAUAUAAAGGACACAAAGCAUCAGCGCAAAAAUACGGAGCAGGCGCCGCUGAUCUACUGCACGCACCACUUGAGAAGUUGAGAUCUGGAACUCCUCCUUCAUGGUUCAUCUGGCACGAUCUGAGCUAGAGAAGAAAAGGUCGCAUCCGCAGCAUGCCUGAUGCGAUGCAUGCGUGUAUUCCUGGAUCCCACGAGUCAAUGCAUGGGUUACGACGAUGUAUCAGACUUCCCAUCUACAAUACUUCUUGGAUUAUGGAACUGCUACUACUUGGGUGAUGGGCCAGACCCAAUGACGUUUUUUUUCUGCAGCUAAAUUAUAGGCCUAAUGCAAAGAAAUACGUACUUGGACCCAGCCAUUAGGGUCGCCCAUGUACCUCACCUUGACGGGGUGGAGAUGGAUCUGUGGCAGUGUCGUCACCUCCUGUACCUCACCUUGGCUCGCCGCCGGAUGGAGAUGGAUCUGUUCCCACCGCCAGCGACCUCUGGGACUGCCAAAUCUAAUAGUCCGUGCCGCCGCUACCACUGACGCCUCAGCUUAGGGGUAGGACUGGGUCGUCGUAGCUUGAUGGUCAAUCUGAGUGGAGAGGGGCAUAGCAUGGCCUUGAUGGGGAGGUAUCCGGCGCGGGAGAGAUGGGGAGAUCCAGCGGUGGGUGGUUCGGUGCCGGCGCCAACAUGGAGCAGCGCGAGGAGGAUAGGUGGUGUGGCGGCGGCUAAUUGUUGGUACGAGAGGGAGAUGGGAGAGGGGAACUAGGGUUAGGCUAGUGUGGAUCCUACAUAAAUGGAUUGGCCCGAAAAUUUCGAGUCCGCG